rnacentral:rRNA from 1 species
GUGAGGAAUUUUCCGCAAUGGGCGAAAGCCUGACGGAGCAAUGCCGCGUGAAGGAUGAAGGCCUAUGGGUUGUAUACUUCUUUUCUCAGAAAAGAAUUAUGACGGUAUCUGAGGAAUAAGCAUCGGCUAACUCUGUGCCAGCAGCCGCGGUAAGACAGAGGAUGCAAGCGUUAUCCGGAAUGAUUGGGCGUAAAGCGUCUGUAGGUUGUUUAAAAAGUAUUCUGUCAAAGAUUAGGGCUUAACCCUAGAUAGGCAGAAUAAACUUUUAAGCUAGAGUUUGGUAGAGGCAGAGGGAAUUCCCGGUGGAGCGGUGAAAUGCGUAGAUAUCGGGAGGAACACCAAAGGCGAAGGCACUCUGCUGGGCCAAUACUAACACUGAGAGACGAAAGCGAGGGGAGCAAAUGGGAUUAGAUACCCGUGUAGUCC